UAUUUUGACUAUGCGAAGGUAUUGAAAUAAGGCUUUAAAUGAGUGCUAAGAGAAUGGUUUAACAAUUAUAAGCUUUCUUUAAUUAAAAAAUUAAAUUUAAUUUUUUUGUGAAGAAGCAAAAAUUUAAAUUAGGGACAAGAAGACCCUAUGAAUUUUAUAUUAAAUAAUAUAAUUUAAUUAAAUUAUAUUAUUUGAAUUAAUUGGGGUGAUUUAAAAAGAAUAUAUAUCUUUUUAAAAAGUUAAUUUGUUCCGUUUUUAACGAUUUUAUGAAAAAAAUA
rnacentral:rRNA from 1 species